GACGAACCGUCCAAACGUUAUUCGGAAUCACUGGGCUUAAAGGGUGCGUAGGCGGCUUCGCAAGUUGGGUGUGAAAGCCCUCGGCUCAACCGAGGAACGGCGCCCAAAACUGCGGGGCUCGAGGAAGGCAGAGGUGAGCGGAACUUGCGGUGGAGCGGUGAAAUGCGUUGAUAUCGCAAGGAACACCAGUAGCGAAAGCGGCUCACUGGGCCUUUACUGACGCUGAGGCACGAAAGCCAGGGGAGCGAACGGGAUUAGAUACCCCGGUAGGCCUGGCCGUAAACGAUGAGCACUGGUUUGGAGGGUCCCCCAUAGCCUUCCAGACGUAGCGAAAGUGUUAAGUGCUCCGCCUGGGGAGUAUGGUCGCAAGGCUGAA
rnacentral:rRNA from 1 species